rnacentral:rRNA from 1 species
UACGGGGGGAGCAAGCGUUGUUCGGAUUUACUGGGCGUAAAGGGCGCGUAGGCGGUCAGCACAAGUCGGUUGUGAAAUCUCCGGGCUUAACCCGGAAAGGUCAACUGAUACUGUGCGACUAGAGUGCGGAAGGGGCAACUGGAAUUUACGGUGUAGCAGUGAAAUGCGUAGAUAUCGUAAGGAACGCCAGUGGCGAAAGCGAGUCUCUGGGCAGCAUCUGACACUGAGGCACGAAGGCCAGGGGAGCAAACGGG